rnacentral:rRNA from 1 species
CAUCGGCGCCACGAGUGGGGAUCAGUUUUAUUUGGCCUAAAGCGUUCGUAGCCGAUCAUAUAAGUCUCUUGUGAAAUCGUUGGGCUCAACCUAGCGGCGUGCAAGAGAUACUGUUUGAUUAGGGACCGGGAGGGGACAGAGGUACUCCUUGGGAAGCGGUAAAAUGUUAUAAUCCUUGGAGGACCACCUGUGGCGAAGGCGUCUGUCCAGAACGGGUCCGACGGUGAGGAACGAAAGCUGGGGGAUCAAACCGG